rnacentral:tRNA from 1 species
GCACUAGUAGCUCAGACUCAGAGCGCCGGUCUUGUAAGCCGGAUGCCAGGGGUUAGAACCCCCUCUAAUGCU